AACCGUAGUAAUUCUAGGGCUAAUACGUGCGAAGCGCCCGAAGCCGCGAGGCGACGGGCGUUCUCGCCGGAUGUAGGAACCGACCCGGGGACCGCCGGGGCAACCCGGCGCCCCCGAGACGGGGCGAACCACGGUGAAAUGACGGAUCGUCGGCCCCGCGCCGGCGACUCGCCGAAUGAGUUUCUGACCUAUCAACUCGAGACGGCGGGGUAGAGGCCCGCCGCGGUAACGACGGGUAACGGGGAAUCAGGGUUCGAUUCCGGAGAGGGAGCCCGAGAAACGGCUACCACUUCCAAGGAAGGCAGCAGGCGCGCAACUUACCCUAAUCUCGAUUCGAGGAGGUAGUGACAAGAAAUACCGAUGCGGGACCCUACGGGUGCCGCGUUCGGAAUGAGUACGAUUCGAACCACCUAAACGGAGGGAAACGUAUCCGGAGGGGCAAGUCUGGUGCCCAGCAGCCGCGGUAAUUCCAGCUCCAAUAGCGUACGUUAAAGUUGCUGCAGUUAAAAAGCUCGUAGUUGAACGUUCGGUU
rnacentral:rRNA from 1 species